CUGUCCCCGCCCACCUGGGGCGCAAGACAAACAGCAUGGUGGGCGGUGUUCCUUCUCUUUCAGAGCCAGGCUCUGGAUGAAAGUCCCAGCUCUGCUACUUACCCACGCUGUGCUUCCGUUUCCUCCUCUGAAAAGUCAAAGGACAAGAGCGUCUGGCUCAUGUCGCUGCCACAAGGACCAGGUCUUGGGCCCCAGACUGGGGACCUGGGAGCUUGGAGAUGAGUCAGGUAUGGUCCCUCUCCCCUGGGAGCCUCAGCAUCCACAGAGUGGACAAGAUAAGAAAGUAAAGAACUAUGUUCUCCGGAGUGUGGGCACCAUGGAGCCUGGGACCGUGCCUGUUCUAUUCCAGUUUCCAAGCAGGGCAGCACCUGGCAAACAGAUGAAAGAUAAUGUAGUAAAGACACAGAGACAAGGCAAAGGAUACCUUAAGUACAAACCUUGGAUUAUAGGAAGAGUUAAAUAAAUUCUUGAGCCAAGAAACAAAUCAAUAAAUGGCUACCAUCUGGGAGAUCAGGGAAGGCUUUCAGGAGGAGGCAGCAUUUGUGCUGGAUAUUGAAAGGCUGGCAGAAUAGAGACACGUGAAAAGAGCAGAAUGGGUAAACACAACAGGAGCAAAGUCCUGGGGCACAAGGUGUGGACUUCAGGCAGGACAGGACAAAGCCUAAUUCAGAGAGCUUGUGCAUUCGGCAGAGGUAUGUGGGGCGGACGUGGCAGAGGUUAGUGGACUUGUAACAAUUCCCGAAUGCCCAGAUCACAGUCAGUUAAUGCCACAGAGCUCAGUCCCGCACACAGGCCUUUCUGUCAGCCUGAUCUAGAGUCUCAUUUUCAAUCUCCUCG
rnacentral:lncRNA from 1 species